rnacentral:rRNA from 1 species
GAUGAACGCUGGCGGCGUGCCUAAUACAUGCAAGUCGAACGCUGGAGAUCUAGCUUGCUAGAUCGAAGGAGUGGCGAACGGGUGAGUAAUACAUAAGCAACCUACCCACGAAGACUGGGAUAAUCUCUGGAAACGGGGACUAAUACCGGAUAGGUAAUCGGAAGGCAUCUUCUGGUUAUUAAAGGUUAAAAACACUGGUGGAUGGGCUUAUGGCGCAUUAGUUAGUUGGUGAGGUAACGGCCCACCAAGACGAUGAUGCGUAGCCGGCCUGAGAGGGUGAACGGCCACAUUGGGACUGAGACACGGCCCAGACUCCUACGGGAGGCAGCAGUAGGGAAUGUUCGGCAAUGGGGGCAACCCUGACCGAGCAACGCCGCGUGAGUGAAGACGGCGUUCGGGUUGUAAAGCUCUGUUGUAAGGGAAGAACGGUAGAUAGAGAAUAUCUAAGUGACGGUACCUUACCAGAAAGCCACGGCUAACUACGUG